CUUAGUGACUAAGACAAAAGUUGCCUGGUAGUUCAUUGGUGGAACCAUAGAAGGCUGUCUGGAGUUCACUGUAAGCCCAGGAAGCAGGGACAUCAAUGAGACUGUUCUGGAGCCUUGACGUGCCAUAAUUAUGGUUUUACCUGAGAUUAUUAUUAAUAUAAACUUCACGUUCUGAAGAAGAAUCUGCUCUCCAUUACAAAAGCCAAGUGUUGGCUGCAGGAUGUUGAACGGCAGGGUAUCAAUCAGCACUUUUCCAAGUCUGAAUAGGCUGUCAUUCUACUUUCUCUGUCCACAGAUACAGUAAACCUGGACCUGGAAAACUUGGAAUACAUCUUCAUCUGUCCGUCUGUUACAUUUGCAAGGAAAAAAUUGUGAAGUCACCCCUUAUAAAGGCUGUCCUGAUUCAC